rnacentral:rRNA from 1 species
UACGGAGGGUGCGAGCGUUGUCCGGAAUCACUGGGCGUAAAGGGCGCGUAGGCGGCCUGGCAAGUCGAUGGUGAAAGCCCGAGGCUCAACUUCGGGUCGGCCACUGAUACUGCUGGGCUUGAGUCGACUAGAGGCAGAUGGAAUUCCGGGUGUAGCGGUGAAAUGCGUAGAGAUGUGGAGGAACACCAGUGGCGAAGGCGCUUUCUGGUCUAUAACUGACACUGAGGCGCGAAAGCGUGGGGAGCAAACAGG